rnacentral:rRNA from 1 species
GACGAACGCUGGCGGCGUGCUUAACACAUGCAAGUCGAACGCUGAAGCCCUUCGGGGUGGAUGAGUGGCGAACGGGUGAGUAACACGUGGGUAAUCUGCCCUGCACUCUGGGAUAAGCCUUGGAAACGGGGUCUAAUACCGGAUAGGACACAUCGCCGCAAGGUGUGUGUGUGGAAAGUUCCGGCGGUGCAGGUUGAGCCCGCGGCCUAUCAGCUUGUUGGUGGGGUGAUGGCCUACCAAGGCGACGACGGGUAGCCGGCCUGAGAGGGUGACCGGCCACACUGGGACUGAGACACGGCCCAGACUCCUACGGGAGGCAGCAGUGGGGAAUCUUGCGCAAUGGGCGAAAGCCUGACGCAGCAACGCCGCGUGGGGGAUGACGGCCUUCGGGUUGUAAACCUCUUUCGACCGGGACGAAGGAUUCGUUUGACGGUACCGGUAGAAGAAGCACCGGUUAACUACGUGCCAGCAGCCGCGGUAACAC